AGAGUUUGAUCCUGGCUCAGGAUGAACGCUAGCGGCACGCUUCAUACAUGCAAGUCGAGGGGCAGCAUAAAGUACUUGUACUUUGAUGGCGACCGGCGAACGGGUGCGUAACGCGUAUGCAACUUACCUUUUACUAGAGAAUAGCCAAGAGAAAUUUUGAUUAAUGCUCUAUACACUUCUUAACUCACAUGAGUUUUUAAGAAAAGCUCCGGCGGUAAAAGAUGGGCAUGCGUCCUAUUAGCUUGUAGGUGAGGUAACGGCUCACCUAAGCUCCGAUAGGUAGGGGUCCUGAGAGGGAGAUCCCCCACACUGGUACUGAGACACGGACCAGACUCCUACGGGAGGCAGCAGUGAGGAAUAUUGGACAAUGGAGGCAACUCUGAUCCAGCCAUGCCGCGUGCAGGAAGACUGCCCUAUGGGUUGUAAACUGCUUUUAUACAGGAAGAAACACUCCCUCGUGAGGGAGCUUGACGGUACUGUAAGAAUAAGGAUCGGCUAACUCCGUGCCAGCAGCCGCGGUAAUACGGAGGAUCCAAGCGUUAUCCGGAAUUAUUGGGUUUAAAGGGUCCGUAGGUGGACAAUUAAGUCAGAGGUGAAAUCCUGCAGCUCAACUGUAGAAUUGCCUUUGAAACUGGUUGUCUUGAGUCAUUAUGAAGUGGUUAGAAUGUGUAGUGUAGCGGUGAAAUGCAUAGAUAUUACACAGAAUACCAAUUGCGAAGGCAGAUUACUAACAAUUAACUGACGCUGAGGGACGAAAGCGUGGGUAGCGAACAGGAUUAGAUACCCUGGUAGUCCACGCCGUAAACGAUGGUCACUAGCUG
rnacentral:rRNA from 1 species